ensembl:snRNA U6 U6 spliceosomal RNA
GUGCUCUCUUUGGCAGCACAUACACUAAAAUUGGAACGAGAGAGAUUAGCAUGGCCCCUGCACAAGGAUGACAUGCCAAUUCAUGAAAUGGUCCAUAUUUUU